UGAAAAAUGAAAAAUUGAAAAAAACUUCAUGAGCACUAAAAUUUAACGCGAUAAAAUUUGCUAUUCAAGUGUUGAUUCGAUUAUGCGAUUCAUCAUGUUGAGAAUUAUUCCCACUUUUUAUUCCUUCCUGAUUUUAUUCUAGUGACUGGCGAUGAUUUAUUCAAUUAGAAACACCAGUACCAGUUGGAAUUAUCUUAUUACGGGUAGUAUUUAUUUAUGAAACUGAAUAUAUGAUGAUCUCUUAUUAUUCUGGCUUGUUGUACUUUGUGUGAAAAAUACUUUCAGGUUAGAUAGAAAAACUGAUGAACGAAGAACGAAUAAGACAUGAAACUGUCAAUAGUGCAGUUUACUUCAAUUUGUGAUUAUACGUACAUGCAUAUCUCCGGAGAUGAAAAAUGAACGAGGCUAACGCUAGAUGACGCAUCGGACGAGUAUUGAUGGUGUUUCAUAUUAUUUUCAAUCGGGAUGAGAAGAACUGAACUUUUUGGUCGAACUAGGUACUAGCUUUUCGAACACACAUUCAUACAUGACACAUGUAUAAAAUAAUCUUUGUAGACGAUGAAAAAUAAACAAGGCCAACGGUAGAUGGUGAAUCGGA